rnacentral:rRNA from 1 species
CGCGUAGGUGGUUAUUUAAGUUAGCUGUGAAAUACCAGGGCUCAACCUUGGGGAGUCAGCUAAUACUGGGUAACUAGAGUACAGUAGAGGGUAGUGGAAUUUCCAGUGUAGCGGUGAAAUGCGUAGAUAUUGGAAGGAACAUCAGUGGCGAAGGCGGCUACCUGGACUGAUACUGACACUGAAGCGCGUAAGCAUGGGUAGCGAACA